GCGUGAGAAUCUGCCCUCAGGAGGGGGAUAACGGCUGAAAACGGCCGCUAAUACCCCAUAUGCCGAGAGGUGAAAUGAAUUUCGCCUGAGGAUGAGCUCGCGUCUGAUUAGCUAGUCGGUGGGGUAAGAGCCUACCAAGGCUUCGAUCAGUAGCUGGUCUGAGAGGAUGAUCAGCCACACUGGGACUGAGACACGGCCCAGACUCCUACGGGAGGCAGCAGUGGGGAAUUUUCCGCAAUGGGCGAAAGCCUGACGGAGCAACGCCGCGUGAGGGAUGAAGGCCUCUGGGCUGUAAACCUCUUUUCUCAAGGAAGAAGAUCUGACGGUACUUGAGGAAUAAGCCACGGCUAAUUCCGUGCCAGCAGCCGCGGUAAUACGGGAGUGGCAAGCGUUAUCCGGAAUUAUUGGGCGUAAAGCGUCCGCAGGCGGCCUCGUAAGUCUGUCGUUUANGCGUGGAGCNGAACUCCAUUUCAGCGAUGGAAACUGCGAGGCUAGAGUGUGUAGGG
rnacentral:rRNA from 1 species